rnacentral:rRNA from 2 species
UGCUACCUGGUUGAUCCUGCCAG